rnacentral:tRNA from 1 species
CUAUAGCUCAACUAGGUAGAGCAACGGAUUCCAAAUCCGUAGGUUGGGGGUUCGAUUCCUCCUGG